CGCCCCGCCCCGCCCGACUCUGGCGUACCUCCAGCGCGCUGUCCGCCCCGGCCUCGUCCUACCCCUCCUGCGGGAACCGGCCCCAGGAUGGCCUGACUGGUGUUCUCUGAGUACAGCUGAGGCACCCAGCUGACUCCCUGAGUGCUGUUUCAAGAACGAAUCCUGUCCCAUCCCUCCCUCCCUGAGGAGGCCAUCAGUCUCCUUGCUGAAACAAUCCCCUAUCCAACUGGCUGAGAAACCAGCUCCUGGUAGACAAGGCAGUACGGUGUUUUGGAGAGCCCAUGCAGGUCUCAUUCUCUCUCCAUUUCUGGGCCUUCAAGUCCUGAGGAUCAGUUUCUGAUGUGGGACAGGGAUACAGCCACCCCUCCCAGGCAGCUGGCAGCAAAACAUGAGAGGAAAACAGCAGAGAGCCUCCCAUUCCUUGGCUGCUGUGGUCAGAGCUCCCACCCUCCAAGAGAAGAUGGUCUUAAGGAUCUAGCUUUACAGUGGCUGCAUGGCCUCCCCUUCCCACCCACCUGCUGGAAGAAGCCAUGCAGGGCCUGGAGUGUGGUGUUCGAGAGGGUAGACAGGUCAGCCAAAGCCACACCUUGCAGAACAUCACCCACCUCUUCAUGAGAGAGGACACUGCUACUCCGGUACCGCAUAAACUGGCCCAGGAAGAGAAGCCCCAAACACCCAGUGAUUUGGCAUCUCUAUCAUAGACAUCUGCUGUGCCCCAACUUUAGGGGACACUGUCGUGAGGCCCACAGAACCUGCCUGCCUUCAAGGAGCUCAGAGUUAGUGGGCAGAGGUGGGGCUAUGUCAUGGGGAAGUGGGGUAAGUAAGGCAAACUGUGAGAUCCUGAGAGAGUUGGCCCUCCUGGCCCCUUUGGCCUUGGCUCCCUCCUCUCCAACAUUGCACUGAACACUCAGGGCCAAAAUGAACUGCGUGUGGCUCCCCUGACAUACCACCAUGUGCUCUUGUACCUGUUGUUCUUACUUCACUACCUGGAACACCUUUCCUCCUCUCUGCCUAUUAAUCUCUCAAGCCACAGCUAAAAUGUUUCCUUCACUGCUCAGAAGCAAUUACUCUUUCCUCUUUGUUCCUACACCAACCACUGAUGUACUUGUUGAUUCACUUCGCUGUCAUUCUUAGGCUCGCUGCUUUGUUAUUUAUUCAAGGGGCACUUACUGUGUGCCUCGCAGUUAGCAUCUCCUCUAGUCUACCACUUGUAGUGUCAUAUUUACAUUACUAGUUUACUUGUCUAUCCUCCUCUUUAGACUGAGGGACCCUAAAGUCAGAGUAUCUGGUUCAUUGACGUCCUUAGUAUCUAGCAGACCUGGCAUGUGGUAGACAGGCCCUGGUCAACAUGUCAUGAGAGAAAUAGGGGAAAGGGUGUCGGGGUCCCCUGGCGUGAGGAGAUAUGGGCAUUCAGAGGAAUUCUUUCAGCAGGCCUCUUGCAGGGUGAAGGCCUGCCCAGCCCUUCCACCUUCUUUGAGGAUUAGGGUUUCCUAAAGUAAGGAGACCCUGGCCUCUUCAGCACCACCCAGCUCAUGACACUCCUCAGACCACAAGAUAUCCUUUCUGUACUUACCAGGGUCAUGAGCCUCAAAAUCUCAGGUCUGAGGAAGGAAUUCUCUCCAGCAUCCAACAG